GGGACCCUGGGGUUUUCUGUCCUCGUGCUCAGGAUCUCACAGAUCUGAGCUGUGGACUGUGCCUUUUCCCCACCUUGGCUUCAUGGACGCUUACUUGACAUGUGGAGGGAUUAGAGAGGGUGCCGUUCACGUGUAGGGCAGACACCAGCUCAUCAAGCUUGCCAAGCACCCCAAGCUCUGUGAAGAUUAAUUUCAGGCUCUGCCUUUCACGUGCUGUCAUCCAGCAGACAUCUCUGUGGCCCUGAGAAGUUAACAAACAAUUAAAGCCAACCUGUCCUCUGCUUGGGGGCCACUGCAGCGGGAGGCCUGCUCCCCAGCACGCGGACACACUUCACAGAAUGAGCCCAGGAAACAGCGAAGGACCAAAGGUGGCCGCUGGUCACUCCAGGUCUACAACUUGCUGGACUCAAGCACAGGGACAAAGAGGAAGGUGGCCUCUCUCUGGACAGCAGCAGCUGAAGCUCUCUGGGGCCAGUAUCCCAUGCUUUCUCAUCCUGAGUCUCCUCAGAGUGCAUGGGGAGGAGGUGGAUGCAGCAGCUGGAAUUAUUUCCAUCCUGAGUUCCCUUGGGGUUCACUGUCCAUCCAGGUAGGGAUAAUGUGAUGGCUUGUUGGCUGCAACAUCCUAUGUUUACUGACAUGGAGGGCAGUAGUUUUGAUUCACAGGCAGUUGUAGGACUUCUUGUCAGCUCAACUCUGUCUCCAGCUAAAUUCCGUUUUUGGAAGAUAAGAGAAAGUGCUGGUGUCCAUAGCGCUGAGUCACAUCAGGCAGAAAGUCCACCAGCUGCUCUCUGAUCUCAAGAGCAGAAUCGUACAAACAUAGAGCAUGACAGUGGGUCCGUGUUUGGGGACUGGCCUGGUGGAGGGUGGUUUGUGCAGGCCUUGUGAGCAUCUGCUGUCUCAAUUUCUGGCCCACAGUCCGUUCCUGUUGUGCUGCUGCUCGGACAGUUGGGAGUUCCUGAGACGUUCUCAGACUUCAUCCAGAGAGUUAUGCAUGUUAAUGGCUAAGACAGAUGCUUUAUGCCUUGCCUGGUUAUUAUGGGUGUUAUGCCCUGAAGAAGAAAAAUGUUCAGGACUCAUUCCAUAACACUUAGGUUACUCCAGUUAAGCUCUGAUGGGAAUGGCCAGCAGCCAAAUGGCAGACUCUGUCCUUGGCAUCCACUUAGUCAGCCCUCUCUCCUCUUAGCAUGAUUUUUUCUUUCUCAACUGAAACCCAUCAUCCAGCUUCAUGGGAGGUUACCAGUGCCUUCCUGCUGACCCUGGCCAUCAAGGAAGCUCUCCAUAAGGUCCCAGACAAGACCGCUACCACCAAGUGUUGUAGCCUAUGACAUAAAUGACAGCUGUAGCUAUGUUUGUUUUGUCUUGCAUAGGGUUUUGAACAAAAAUCAAUGGCUUGCGGCAUUUCAGAGAUUUCAUAUAUCUAAAUUCUUGGUUUCUCUGGGAAAAAAAAAAUCCCAGAAAGAGUUGGCAAUACUGGGUUAACAUUUUCACAUGCACAGCCAUUGCCUGGAGCUGAGUAGUAGCAGCCCCUUUCAGAUGGGCUGUUGCUGUUCAGUUUGCCAUGGACCCCACUACUCCCUAUUGCCUCCCUCUCUCACAUACGUCAGAUUUAGUGUCAGGCAACUGGCUCUUUUUAUUCACUCACAUUACCUUCCUGGUAGGUACCUGUUCUCAGUCUCUGCUUUAGACCUUCCAAGCUUCCAGUGGAGCCAACCAUUUGAUUAGAGGGUUGGAACUUUCAGUUCAGCAAUCUUGAGAAAGAAGAACAAAGCUGGAGGCAUCACCCUCCAUGGUUUCAAACUAUAUUACAAAGCUACAGCAAUCAAAACAGAUGAGGAUGGCAUAAAACCAGACACAUACACAGCAGAAUUGAGAGCUCAGAAGUAAACCCAUGCAUAUAUGGUCAAUUAAUUAUGACAAAGGAAUCUUGUCUUUUAAGACAACAUGGAUGGCCCUUGAUGGCGUUAGCUUAGUGAAAUAAAUCAGACAGAGAAAGAGAAAUACUGUAUGAGCUGAUAUAUGGUAUCAAAAAAAUAAACAAACAAAAAACUCAUGGAUACAGAGAAUAGAUUGGUCAUUACCAGAAGCAGAGGGUGAGAGCUAAACCAAAUGGGUGAAGAUGGUCAAAAGGUACAAACUUCUAGUUAUAAAGAAGUCAUGGGUCCUGGGCAUCUAUCCAGAGAAAACCAUGCCUCGAAAAGACACAUGUUCUCCAAUGUUUAUUGCAGCACUACUGACAGAGGAAUAGAUAAAGAAGAUGUGCUACAUAUACNUAUGUCCACUGACAGAGGAAUAGAUAAAGAAGAUGUGCUACAUAUACACAGUGGAAUAUUCCUCAGCCAUUAAAAGGAAAGAAAUAACAGCAUUUGCAGCAACAUGGAUGGACCUAGAAAUUAUCAUGCUAAGUGAAGUCAGUCAGACAAUGAGACACCAACAUCAAAUGCUAUCACUUAACAUGCGGAAUCUGAAAAAAGGACACAAUGAACUUCUUUGCAGAACAGCUACUGACUCAGAGACUCUGAAAAACGUAUGGUUUCCAAAUGAGACAGGUUGGGGGGUGGGGGGAUGUGCUGGGGGUUUGGGAUGGAAAUACUAUAAAAUUGGGUUGUGAUGAUCAUUGUACAGCUAUAAAUGUAAUAAAUUAAUUGAGUAAUAUAAAAAAUAAAGAGAAAAAAUAAAAAA
rnacentral:lncRNA from 1 species